rnacentral:rRNA from 1 species
GAUGAACGCUAGCGGCAGGCCUAACACAUGCAAGUCGAGGGGCAGCGGGGGUAGCAAUACCUGCCGGCGACCGGCGCACGGGUGAGUAACGCGUAUGCAACCUGCCCCCGUCUGGGGAAUAGCCCGUCGAAAGGCGGAUUAAUGCCCCAUGGUUCCGCUGACCGGCAUCGGUUAGCGGGUAAAGGUUACGGACGGGGAUGGGCAUGCGUGCCAUUAGCUAGUUGGGGGGGUAACGGCCCACCAAGGCGACGAUGGCUAGGGGAGCUGAGAGGCUGAACCCCCCACACUGGUACUGAGACACGGACCAGACUCCUACGGGAGGCAGCAGUGAGGAAUAUUGGUCAAUGGGCGGAAGCCUGAACCAGCCAUGCCGCGUGCAGGAAGACGGCCCUACGGGUUGUAAACUGCUUUUCUGCGGGAAGAACGGCCCCUACGCGUAGGGGUAUGACGGUACCGCAGGAAUAAGGAUCGGCUAACUCCGUGCCAGCAGCCGCGGUAAU